UGAAUAUUGUGUGUUUUAGAAAUGUUCUUAAAUCAUAUACAAUCACAAACAGUCGUGAAGCUUUAAUGAGAGCAAAUUUUACUGCAUUAUUUCUUAAGUUGUUAUUGACGGUUUUUCAGUCUUGAAGGUUAGGGCAGUGCUAUUUACUAAUAACAGGAUGGGGCAAGGUUUUAUUAAGAUCAUUAUGUCAUUGACAUACUUGCUUAAAUGAAUUAGCAUGCAAGUAUAAUCUGUAUUAAAUAUUUCACAGGCUAAAUAUAGUGCUAGAAAAGUUACACAUGAAGUAUCAGGGAAACCACAUGAGAUCUAAACUCCAAUUGUCAUUGUAUUGCUAUUACAUGGAACUUAAAUAUAGGUAUGAUUUUCUUUCCUUUAACUGACAACAUGCUUGUUGUGUGGAGCAGAAUAUACUGCGGUUUUCCAGCAUAGGACUGAAUUGGUUCACAGGUGGGCUCUGGAAAGGUUUCAAGCUGAAAAGAUAGAGUUCAAACUGCAGGAGUUAAAACAUUUCAUAUUACCAGCCCUGCUACUGAUCCAGUAAGUGACUGUAACAACCUAUCUCACCUUUGCAAAUGUGUGAACUUCAGCUCACAUAAUGUCUCCUACCAUUUGUGAAGUACUUAGCGUGACUGCAUUCAGAUCUCACUUUUAUCUAUAUGCCUCAAUUUAAAGAAGAUGAGGGUUUUUUUUCUAAAAUAUUCAGCUAAAAGAAUAGAUGCAUUGGCUAGCUCUGUCGCCUGUUAUAUAAAAGCUCUUCAAAAUUAAGUUGUUUAUAGAUUAGUUCCUUGCAUAUAGCCUUGAUUGUGAGCUCACAUAAAUGGUUAAGAUUUGCAUAAAAUCUAUUUACAGUGAUCAUCGUAAUGAGGAGCUAUUCUCAGCCCUUGAAGAACUCCUUUUCCUUUCUUAGCAUCUAUAUCCCAAGCCAGAAAAAUCUGUUGACAUCCGCUAUGAUGCAGAUUCACAACCAGCAGUUUGGGAUCAGUAUUUGAUCAGUAUGGAUUUAACAAAGCAACCAUUAACUAAAGGAUAUUUUUACAGAUCAAGCAAUUAAUUUUGACCAACAUAACCAGGACCUGUUUUUAGAAGUCCAGCAGUAUGAAGAUGCCUUACACUGUGGAGCAGAUUUGCUGUCUGUACCAUCCCCAGCAACUGGCUUUCAGUGACUCGUAGUUUACUGUUAUCACUAAUGCAAAGUAAUGGAUUUGCAAAGGCAAUGUAAGGAGGAAAAGAAAGAAAAAAAGCAGCUGACUGCAAUAAGACUUCAUAUUGAUACCAUGUUUCUAAGAAUUCUGUGGUAUUUUAUAAAUUUUGCUGAUGGAAAUAAUUGAGAGGAUAUCCAAUAAUUGGUUUCUUACAAGGUCUGGAUACUCGUUUAAAUUUACUUACACUGAAUAAAACCAAAAGACUACUGUGGAUAAAUACUCUUCUCUCUCAGCAUUGUCUUCUCUUCAGUUCCGGAUAGUUCUACACAACGGCUGCUUCUAGCUGUAUCAGAGCAAGUCACUGGCAAAGCCCUCAGAAUAGUCAGUGUGAUGAUUUUUACUUCUGCAUUCUCCACUGCAUUGUCUAC